rnacentral:rRNA from 1 species
AGAGUUUGAUCCUGGCUCAGAAUCAACGCUGGCGGCGUGCCUCAGACAUGCAAGUCGAACGAUUAAGACUCCCUUCGGGGAGUGCAUAAAGUGGCGCACGGGUGAGUAACACGUAAGUAAUCUGCCUUCGAGUGGGGAAUAACCCGGGGAAACCCGAGCUAAUACCGCAUAACGCAGCGGCACCGCAAGGUGACAGUUGUUAAAGGAGCAAUCCGCUUGAAGAGGAGCUUGCGGCAGAUUAGCUAGUUGGUAAGGUAAUGGCUUACCAAGGCUACGAUCUGUAUCCGGUUUAAGAGGACGGUCGGACACACUGACACUGAAUAACGGGUCAGACUCCUACGGGAGGCAGCAGUCGGGAAUUUUGGGCAAUGGGCGAAAGCCUGACCCAGCAACGCCGCGUGAAGGAUGAAGUAUUUCGGUAUGUAAACUUCGAAAGAAUGGGAAGAAUAAAUGACGGUACCAUUUAUAAGGUCCGGCUAACUACGUGCCAGCAGCCGCGGUAAUACGUAGGGACCAAGCGUUGUUCGGAUUUACUGGGCGUAAAGGGCGCGUAGGCGGCAUAUUAAGUCAGCUGUGAAAUCUCCGAGCUUAACUCGGAACUGUCAGCUGAUACUGAUGUGCUAGAGUGCAGAAGGGGCAUCGGAAUUCUUGGUGUAGCGGUGAAUGCGUAAUUUCAAGAGGAACACCUGAGGUGAAGACGGGUUGCUUAGGCUGACACUGACGCUGAGGGCGCGAAAAGCCAGGGGGAAGCAAAACGGGAUUAGAAUACCCCCGGGUAGUCCUGGGCCCCUAAAACGAUGAAUACNNUUGGUGGUNUGGAGUUAUUAUUUGCUCCGGGUUGCCGUCCCUACCGUUUUAUGUUUUNCGGCCUGGGGAGUUACGCUCGCAAAAUUAAACUUCAAGGGAAUUUGACCGGGGGGACCCCGGCACAAGCCCGUUGGAGCAUGUUGGUUAAUUCGACGCAACGCGAAGAACCUAACCUAGGCUAGAAUGUGAGGGAAGGGCGUCUAACAGCGUCCGUCCGGGAAACCGGACCCAAAACAAGGUGCUGCAUGGCUGUCGUCAGCUCGUGUCGUGAGAUGUUGGGUUAAGUCCCGCAACGAGCGCAACCCUUAUCAACAGUUGCCAUCAUUAAGUUUGGGAACUCUGUUGAGACUGCCGUUGAUAAAACGGAGGAAGGUGGGGAUGAUGUCAAGUCAUCAUGGCCUUUAUGCUUAGGGCUACACACGUGCUACAAAUGGAUGGUACAAAACGUCGCAAUCUCGUAAGAGGGAGCUAAUCGCGAAAACCAUUCUCAGUUCGGAUUGGAGUCUGCAACUCGACUCCAUGAAGUUGGAAUCGCUAGUAAUCGAAAAUCAGCAUGUUGCGGUGAAUACGUUCCCGGGUCUUGUACACACCGCCCGUCACAUCACGAAAGCUAGGUUGUACAUAGAAGCAGGAGGGCUAACCCGCAAGGGAGGCAUCUUACCACGGUAUGAUUUAUGAUGUGGGGUGAAGUCGUAACAAGGUAGCUGUAGGAGAACCUGUGGCUGGAUCACCUCC